AUUGAACGCUGGCGGCAGGCUUAACACAUGCAAGUCGCACGAGUGGCGGACGGGUGAGUAAUGCUUGGGAAUCUCGCUUAUGGAGGGGGAUAAAUAUGUGAAACUGUAGCUAAUACCGCGUACCAUAGGCUGAGCCCAAGUGGGAUUAGGUAGUUGGUGAGGUAAAGGCUCACCAAGCCGACGAUAUCUAGCUGGUCUGCGAGGAUGACCAGCCACACUGGGACGGAGACCCGGCCCAGACUCCUACGGUAGGCAGCAGUGGGGAAUAUCGCGCAAUGGGGGCAACCUGACGCAGCCAUGCCGCGUGAAUGAAGAAGGCCUUCGGGUUGUAAAGUUCUUUCGGUAGCGAGGCGUUAACUACAGAAGAAGCACCGGCUAACUCCGUGCCAGCAGCCGCGGUAAUAC
rnacentral:rRNA from 1 species